CUUGAAGACUGGCAUUUUGCCUCAGAUUGUGAAGUCCAAGCCUCAGAGUUGUUUCCCAAAACUAACAAAAUCCCCCUCUGAGCUUGAAAUCACAGCCUGAGCCAGGCAUCUUCU
rnacentral:pre_miRNA from 1 species